rnacentral:rRNA from 1 species
GACAGAGGGUGCAAACGUUGUUCGGAAUUACUGGGCGUAAAGCGCGUGUAGGCGGCCCUGCAAGUCGGAUGUGAAAUCCCACGGCUCAACCGUGGAAGUGCAUUCGAAACUGCAGGGCUAGAGUCCUGGAGAGGAAGGUGGAAUGCUUGGUGUAGAGGUGAAAUGCGUAGAUAUCGGGAGGAACACCGGUGGCGAAGGCGGCGACCUGGGUCGACACUGACGCUGAGGCGCGAAAGCGUGGGGAGCGAACAGG